GGGCUCAUGGCCUAAUGGUAAGGCGUCAGAUUUCGGUUCCUCCUCUCCAAGAAAUACCGGUCCUCUGAAAAUUGCAGGUUCGAUCCCUGCUGAGCUCG